rnacentral:rRNA from 1 species
UACGGAGGAUCCGAGCGUUAUCCGGAUUUAUUGGGUUUAAAGGGUGCGCAGGCGGGAGAUUAAGUCGGCGGUGAAAUUUUGCAGCUCAACUGUAAAAGUGCCUUCGAAACUGGUUUCCUUGAGUGUGGAUGAAGUAGGCGGAAUUUGUGGUGUAGCGGUGAAAUGCAUAGAUAUCACGAGGAACUCCGAUUGCGCAGGCAGCUUACUAAACUACUACUGACGCUCAGGCACGAAGGCGUGGGGAGUCAAACAGGAUUAGAUACCCGGGUAGGU